AUUGAACGCUGGCGGCAGGCUUAACACAUGCAAGUCGAGCGGGGGAAGGUAGCUUGCUACCGGACCUAGCGGCGGACGGGUGAGUAAUGCUUAGGAAUCUGCCUAUUAGUGGGGGACAACAUCUCGAGAGGGAUGCUAAUACCGCAUACGUCCUACGGGAGAAAGCAGGGGAUCUUCGGACCUUGCGCUACUAGAUGAGCCUAAGUCGGAUUAGCUAGUUGGUGGGGUAAAGGCCUACCAAGGCGACGAUCUGUAGCGGGUCUGAGAGGAUGAUCCGCCACACUGGGACUGAGACACGGCCCAGACUCCUACGGGAGGCAGCAGUGGGGAAUAUUGGACAAUGGGGGGAACCCUGAUUCAGCCAUGCCGCGUGUGUGAAGAAGGCCUUAUGGUUGUAAAGCACUUUAAGCGAGGAGGAGGCUACUCUAGUUAAUACCUAGGGAUAGUGGACGUUACUCGCAGAAUAAGCACCGGCUAACUCUGCGCCAGCCGCCGCAGUAA
rnacentral:rRNA from 1 species